rnacentral:rRNA from 1 species
UUUAAAUACUUUUUAAAGUAUCAAUUGGAGGGCAAGUCUGGUGCCAGCAGCCGCGGUAAUUCCAGCUCCAAUAGCGUAUAUUAAAAUUGUUGCAGUUAAAAAGCUCGUAGUUGAAUUUUUGCUAAAAAUAACCGGUCUGCUUUUAUUAAUAAAAGUGGUAUCUUGGUGUGUUUUUAGCAAUAAUGUCCUUUGAAAUGUUUUUUACUUUAUUGUAAAAAGCAAUUUUCAGGAUUUUUACUUUGAGAAAAUUAGAGUGUUUCAAGCAGGCUAACGUUUUGAAUACUGCAGCAUGGAAUAAUAAAAUAGGAUUUUAGUUCUACGUUAUUGGUUUUAAGAACUAAAUUAAUGAUUGAUAGGAGCAGUUGGGGGCAUUUGUAUUUAACUGUCAGAGGUGAAAUUCUUAGAUUUGUUAAAGACACACUACUGCGAAAGCAUUUGCCAAAGAUGUUUUCAUUAAUC